AUCUAUUUCAUCGGCGGAGCGGAUUUAAUUUACGAAUUCCGUUCUAGAAAUAAUUUCAAUGGUAAUAUCUAUUAACAAAUUCCGUACUUUUGUCACCCGCGCCUCAUUUUCGCUACCGCGAACUUUGCGUUCAUGUGACAUUUCUUCCGUGACUUCCUUGCACAACCACAACAACAAACUGAACAACAACACGAUAACAUUCGGAAAAAUGGCUGCCGAAGGCGCAGAAUUCACUGAUGAAGUUGUUGAGUUCUUAGACAAGGAAUUCGGAGAAGAUCUCGACAGGCUCAAAGAAGUAGAAAAAAUAAUAAAAGAGCGGGAAGAUCUCAGCAAUUCUCUUCGUUUAAAGAUUUCCAAAUGCAGCAAUGAAACUGAUGUGACAAAGGAAAAAGCUCAGUUGGCUGGGAAAGAGCAGUUAGAAGAAAUUGACAGAUUAUUAGAGGAAAAAGAAAUUGAAGAAACAAAAGUCAAAGAAUACUCAAGUAAAAAUGAGGAACUUGUUGAAAAGAUAGGGAAUAUUAAUCAGGAAAUUGAGCAAAUUAAUUGCCUUCAAGUUUACCUUAGCUGGGUUGCCCAAAUAAGUCAUUUGAGCAGUGAAAUGAAGAAGGAACUGACAGCUGGAAACUUGGAAAUUGCCACUGAGUUUUUUUAUAACUUGACAGAAAUAACUGGAAGACUGAAGGAUUCUUCUUGUCAAAAUCUAGUAGACUAUGCUGUUACUUCCCAGGAAUACUGGUUUAAGGCUCUUUCUGACUUGUUAGUGAGAGAGUUGGAUGAGACUUUAAUCAAAAUGAAAUGGCCUUUUGCAACUGGAACAUCGUCACCUCAAAUUGCAGAUAAUAAGGAUGAUGUGAUGUCUAAGUUUUGUGCAAUCACAAAACUUAUUCUCAAACUUGAUUCUCAAAAAAUUAAUUAUGAGAAGACAGGUAAAACUGAUGCUCUCAUCUUGACGAAAAUUCUUGUGAAACCAUUCCAAAAGAGAUUUGCAUUCCAUUUCUAUGGAUCAAGACGAACAAACAAUUUAGAAAAGCCGGAAUGGUAUUUCACACAGAUAUUAAAUUGGAUUAGAGAUCAUUCUUCAUUUCUUGAAAGUUUUGUCCAACCAAUAAUUGAUGAUGCAGGGUAUCUUAACCAUUACGUACAACACGAGUUUAUACAAGCCUUACUGGAAACGUGCAUGGAGAAGAUCAAAACAACACUACCUCAAGUAAUCACAAACGAAAGCCUAUUCUCCCAUCUUAUCGAUGAAACGAUACUUUUCGAUAAUGAACUCCGAUCCUUGUUUGAUUAUCCAAGUCAACUGCCAGGAUGUACAUCUGUCUUGCUUCAAAAGCCCUACCUCGACCAUUGGAUCGAUCUUGAAACGAAAUGCGCAAUUGAUGCAGUAAACAACAUUCUAUUGGGGAACGAAGCAUUCACUUCUAAAUACGGUGACCCUGAUGUAGAAAACAACUUGAAAGUUCCCGCUUGUGUUGAAGAUUUCAUAGAACAGCUAUCACUCAUAACUGAAAAAUACAAAUCGUUUGGCAAUACAGAAGCACAACUUAGAUUCUUGGAUCUACAAUUAAUGCUGUUGGAAUACUUCAUAAAGAAGUUGGAAGAAAUCGGUGACAUUGAGUCUUCAUCGCUGAAUUACAAAGCUAUAUAUUCACUUUUGAAUGGGUCUCAGUUUAUUGUUGAUAUUCUGACCGACUGGACCGAACAAGUUUUUUUCAUACAGUUAUUUUGCAUACGAUCGCAAAAGUCAGAUAAAAUGCUAUCGAAAAGCACCAGACUGGAUGACUCCCUGGCUGAAGAACAAGUAAGUUUUGGCAGUAUGGAUGCAGUCAGUGAUCAGCAGGACUCGCUGUUAGAACGAGGGCUGUUUGAUGACGUAAUCAGUUCCUUGGAGGAUUUCAUCAAAUCCCUAACAACAUCCCUGCUUAGAAACAGCGAGAAAGAUUUAAAAUCAAAAUUAAAGCCUUAUCGAGAAGAAAGAUGGCAUUGCUGCCCACCACCAAAAGAUCUCGUCACGCAGAUGCUGUCUAGCUCAGCUUGUAGUGUUUUGAUGAAUGUCAAAGAGACAUUGCAGUCAAUGAAUGACGAACUCUGUUCUUCGAUCUUUGGCAAAGUUUGGCAGAAGUACGCACAAAUUGUUGACAGGCUAAUAUUUGAGGAAGUGAUUUUGGAAAGUCAUUUCAAUGAGGGAGGUGCUUCACAGAUUAAAUUUGAUUUAACAAAAAAUUUGUUCCUGAUCUUUGAAGAGCACACUGCCAAACCGGAUUCGUUUUUUAAAAUGACAAAAGAUGCUUGUACCCUGCUAAACCUUCUUUCUGGAUCAGGUGUGCUACUGCAGGAAGCUUUGAUGUUGUCGGAGAAAAAUAAAACUGAAGAUAAAGAAAAUUGUGCAAAGAAUGCCUUGUUAGAUGUUGGGGUGAAAAAUACAUCGGUAGAAACUGCUUUGAAAAUUUUACGUUCUAGAAUUGACUGGCCAAAAAUUUGACCUCAUUGCUAUGUAUUUAGUAUAAAUUAUAUUAGGCCUAUAGGCCUAUAUCAAUCUUAAAGAUUAGAAUUUUAAUAAUGCAGUCAAUGAAGUUACCCUGACUCAAUCACCCUCUAGCCUCUUGAGUUUAAGUUUUCAGUAUUCUCUUUGAUAUCAGCCUAAUUUCUAUUCUUAGGUAUUCCAUUUUUGUAUUGAACCGUGAACAGGGUUGCUUUUCUACUUUUUUCAGCGAAUUUUUUGAACAUGGGAAAAUUGCAGUCUUGGCAUAAAAAUAGAGAUUUGCUUCUUUGUUUUGCAUAUUAUGUUUAGAUCUGGUCUGUUUCAAAGACUGAGGAAGGCUUUUUCUUAAAUAUUAAACAUCGUUUCUUUACGUCAUACCCGAACAAAGCGUCCAUGAAUAUUCUCUUUGCAACAGAAGUGAUGUGUGAUGAAAUGAUCAUGUUUUUAUGUUGCUAGGAUUUUCAGUAAAUAGAUUAUGCAAAGGGCUGGAGCCCCCCAGUAAUGUCAAACUGUACUAUAUUUUCUUUAUAACAGUGUACCGAAUGGGAAGCAAUACAGUGGGACCCCAGCCCCCCCCCCUCCCAAUAGGAAUUUCGGUUUCACGGCAUUGCAAAGUUAAUCUUUAAACAGCCUGAGGUAGGAGAACAGACAGAGGUGUAGUACUGGGGGGCCUCACGGGACUAAAUUUCUACUUUUGCUAUUGUUUUUUAAACUUUUUAUGCAAGAGCCCCCCCCCCCCUCAUUUUGAUAGCACUACACCACUGAGCACAGGGCCCUGCUAUUGGAGUAAACAAAAGCAAAAUUUACAAAAACGAAACAGAACAGUCUUCAUUGUUACUAAUCAAAACUUUUAUUGCUACUACAUCCCUGAGAUGCACGAUGCCGGAUUGGAUUAACCCGGAUUGGUUUUUUACUUUGGAUCUAGGGGUUUCAGCUGCACGAUGCAGUGAAAAUUCCAAACGCCUUGGAUUGGCAAACCGGGGGGGGGGGAUGGAAAGUCGGUCCUUGAGAUUCUUGCAAACCUGAUGAGAAAACUUCGGGGGAGGGGGAUAGGUGCGUUAUCUAGAUCGUCACAUUUAAAAAACAUUUUUUUGGGAGACAGAAGUUGUAUCCUCCGGAAGAAAAUGUUUCAAUCAGGGGGAAAGGGUGUGGUCUAAAAGGGCGUGGUCCCGGACACACCUUUUGUCCCCCCCUAAAAACCCAGGCUGGAGCCGCCACUGAACCGGAAUGAAAGUCAAUCCAAAAUACCCUGCUUCGCAUUUUAUCCAAUGUAACCACUCCGCUUAUCGUAUUGUUUCGGAUUUGGAAGUAAAAACAGAUCCGGCGUCGUGUCAGAGUCAUGAAUUUUGUGCUGCAGUGGUAGGCCUGACAUUGAUCACAUGAACUCACCUCGAACUGAUUUAAAAAACAGCCUCCGUCAAUAGCAAGUUGUCAACAAACAUGAACGUAUUUUAAACAAAAGAAUUCUUAUGAACAAUGCCGUUGCACAAGUAGAUAGCGGCCUGUGUGAACAGCCAAAAGUGGGGGCAAGUAAGCAUAAACUCGCACUCUUCAUCAAGCGCCCAGCGUGAACCCCGGAUUUAUGGGUCCCGGGUCUAAAGCCCCGGCAAAACGACUGGACAUUUUCACUGAACAUGGACUGGACCAAUGUCCAGCGUAAAUGUUGCGUCGUUUUGCCACCUUGUCCAGUCUUGUUCAGCGAUGUUGAGUGUUGUUCAGUCGAUUUUGAAGGUAGUCAAAAAUGUUCAGUGGACAGGAUUAAAAUUCUUUUGUUCGCAGAUGUUGUAGAGAAAUGUUCAGUCGUUUUGCCACUCUACUGAACAUUGUCCAGUUCGCGCAGGCGCAAUGAAUGUAAUGGAUAGGAUUUGGCGCGAAUUUAUUUCCAUUAUUCAAAUCUUUAACAAACUUUCCUAGUCAACACCGCGAACGAAAUGGAAACAACGUGAAAAUUCAAUUCGACCAAUAGCAGAAAAGGCAUUUUAUUAAUAACGACGAGUCUUCCGAUCAGAUUAGCUUUAGUUCCAAUAAGGAAAGCGAUGUCAGAGAGCAGGAGUACGGUGAUUUUGAUAAACCUAGCUGUCCUAGCCACUUGUCAAUAAUACACUCUAAUUCAUACGAUAACACGGUUAGGACUAUGAAAAGUGUAUUUUCAAAGGUAAAGAGAUGCCCUGUUGCCAGUUUUCCCACCCGCAUUCUUCAACAGGGAAAAAGUUCACUGGACAAUGUUCAGUCGUUUUGCCACCACCAAUAUUUUUUGAUGUUCAUACUCUAAACAAGUGAGCAAUGUCCAGUGUGUGACCAGCGCAAAUGUCCAGUCGUUUUGCCGGGGCUUAAGGCCUAGUUACAGGAAAACAAUGAGGUAUACACCUCAUUGCAGGAAAAGAAGCUGGCUGCGUCCACAAUACACAAUCCUUUCACAGGCGCCUAAACGUGCUUGCCGACUUCCGUUUUGCCUAUCCCCCUCAGUGUUCAUGAUCCAAAGAUAAUCGCACGCGGAAAGCAGCUUGCUGAGACUAAAAGGCUUGUUGGCUAGCAAGUAGACUGUAGUUGGUUACUCACAUGCGCGUGCAAACAAGAUGGAUUUCGAACUUCUUAUUUCAGAAGUGAAAAAACGUUCAGCUUUAUGGGAUCCUAAAAAUCCCAACCACAGUAACAGGGGCUUUACUGAAAAAUGCUGGACAGAGGUCGCAGAAGUAAUGCGGUUAAAAGUGGAUAUUGUGAAGAAGAAAUGGAAAUCACUUAGAGACAACUUUCGUGUCGAAUUGAGAAAGGUGCCAAUCGGAAAAUCGGAUGAUCCUAGUCUGCCAAUUGAUCAGUACCUAUCAAAGUGGGUCUUCUUCAAAAUGAUGUUCUUUCUGAGAGAUCCCAUGGUUGAAAAGAUGUUGUCCGGCAACCAUACAGCUGCUUCGACUGCGGCUGUAUCAGCAGAAACCGUAGACAACGAGCCAAAUGUCACUUCUCCUGUACCCUCAUUGCAGAGUCUGUCGGAGACAAAGAACGUUUUACUUUGGGAAGAAACUGUCCCAAAAAAAGAUGCAACAGUUUAUACGGCCCUUCCAAAAGUAGCGAAUAAAAGAAAACGAAGAAGAGAUCAAAGGGAUGGUGAGGCAGAAGGACUAAUUGCUAUUCAGAUGGAGAAAGUGGACAUAGAGAAGCAUAAACUACAGCUGCUCCUGCAAGAUAACGACAGAAGAGAAAGGGAGGAAAAUGACUUUGACAGACAUUUUGUUUUGAGUUUAUUACCCAUGCUGAAAAAAAUUCCAGAGAGAGAAAGAACUGGCGUAGAAAUUAGACUUAAGCAAGUUUUGCACGAAGCAGUAUAUGGAAAUUUCAACGAAUUUGCAACAUAUAGGCCUUGAAAAAAUAAUCACUGCAUAAGAUACUUCUUGCUACAUAAGUAUUUUUUUAUAAAAUGUGAGAACUCACCUAAAA